AUAGAGAGACAAAAGAAAAACAGAGAACGUGAACGGAAGGGGAUCCGACCACCCUGUUUCGGUGACCAUCUCCGUCUUCUGCCCUCUGUUCCAGCUGCGAUGGGUCUGAUACCAAAGGUUAACGUUGACGAUGAACUCAACGGAAGAGACCAUGAUGUUAGCGACGUUAUCGGUAGUGCCUAGGGUUCCAGGAGAACACGAGUCAGAUCUCCCGUUUUGGUGUAGCUUGGCAAACGCUGAGGUGUACCGACAUUGUGAUUGAAAAGUUGAACUUAGUUAUCAAGGAGCUCGUUAAGGAAAAUGGUGAAGAAAAAGAAAGGCUAAAUGGAAUUAUUGCCGGGUUGUUGGCUAAAAAAGAAAAAGAUAAGGUGGAUAAUGAUGCUAUGCUCGAUACGAUGUCACAAAUUGAAGCUAUGUUAACAAGUACAACUUGAAGAUAGGCUACAAACACUUGGUUUUGAAUGUUUCGAUGUUUAUCGUAUUAGGAUUUUUUAGUUAUUUGAUGUUUUAGCUGGUA